UACGUAGGGUGCUAGCGUUGUCCGGAUUUAUUGGGCGUAAAGAGCUCGUAGGCGGUGUGUCGCGUCGGCCGUGAAAACCUGGGGCUCAACUCUGGGCGUGCGGUCGAUACGGGCAUCACUUGAGUUCGGCAGGGGAGACUGGAAUUCCUGGUGUAGCGGUGAAAUGCGCAGAUAUCAGGAGGAACACCGGUGGCGAAGGCGGGUCUCUGGGCCGAUACUGACGCUGAGGAGCGAAAGCAUGGGUAGCGAACAGG
rnacentral:rRNA from 1 species